GAUGAAGAACGCAGCGAAAUGCGAUACGUAAUGUGAAUUGCAGAAUUCAGUGAAUCAUCGAAUCUUUGAACGCAUAUUGCGCUCUCUGGUAUUCUGGAGAGCAUGCUUGUUUGAGUAUCAGUAAACACCUCAACUUCCAUAUCUUUUUUGAAAUGGGAGUUGGACUUGAGUGAUCCCAACGCUUUUCCUCACCGAAAAGUGGCGGGUUACUUGAAAUGCAGGUGCAGCUGGACUUUUCUCUGAGCUAUAAGCAUAUCUAUUUAGUCUGCCUAAAAAACAGAUUAUUACCUUUGCUGCAGCUAACAUAAAGGAGAUUAGUUCUUGUGCUGACUGAUGCAGGAUUCACAAAGACAGCUUCGGCCGACUUUGUAAACUCGAUCUCAAAUCAAGUAAGACUACCCGCUGAACUUAAGCAUAUCAAUAAGCGGAGGA
rnacentral:misc_RNA from 1 species